rnacentral:tRNA from 1 species
AGGUAGUUAGCUCAGUUGGUUAGAGCAUUUGGCUUAUAUCCAAGCGGUCGGGGGUUCAAGUCCCUCACUACCUA